GUGAGGAAUAUUGGACAAUGGGCGCAAGCCUGAUCCAGCCAUGCCGCGUGCAGGAAGAAGGCCUUCGGGUUGUAAACUGCUUUUGUACGGAACGAAACGGUCCUGGCUAAUAUCCGGGGCUAAUGACGGUACCGUAAGAAUAAGCACCGGCUAACUACGUGCCAGCAGCCGCGGUAAUACGUAGGGUGCGAGCGUUAAUCGGAAUUACUGGGCGUAAAGCGUGCGCAGGCGGUGCUGUAAGACAGGCGUGAAAUCCCCGGGCUCAACCUGGGAAUUGCGCUUGUGACUGCAGUGCUGGAGUGCGGCAGAGGGGGAUGGAAUUCCGCGUGUAGCAGUGAAAUGCGUAGAUAUGCGGAGGAACACCGAUGGCGAAGGCAAUCCCCUGGGCCUGCACUGACGCUCAUGCACGAAAGCGUGGGGAGCAAACAGGAUUAGAUACCCCGGUAGUCC
rnacentral:rRNA from 1 species